AGAGCGAACGCUGGCGGCAGGCCUAACACAUGCAAGUCGAACGCACCUUCGGAUGAGUGGCGGACGGGUGAGUAACACGUGGGAACGUACCUUUUGGUUCGGAAUAACGCAGAGAAAUUUGCGCUAAUACCGAAUGAGCUCGAAAGAGGAAAGAUUUAUCGCCGAAAGAGCGGCCCGCGUUAGAUUAGCUAGUUGGUGGGGUAAAGGCCCACCAAGGCUACGAUCUAUAGCUGGUCUGAGAGGAUGAUCAGCCACAUUGGGACUGAGACACGGCCCAAACUCCUACGGGAGGCAGCAGUGGGGAAUCUUGCGCAAUGGGCGAAAGCCUGACGCAGCCAUGCCGCGUGAAUGAUGAAGGUCUUAGGAUUGUAAAAUUCUUUCAGUAGGGACGAUAAUGACGGUACCUACAGAAGAAGCCCCGGACUAACUUCGCGCCAGCAGCCGC
rnacentral:rRNA from 1 species